UGACUACUUUAGCUCAUAUGAUGCUGCGAGGGCUAGACAUUCUUAAGGUCCACAGGGGCACCGUGGGAUAAGUAUGUUGAUCUUUAAGGCCUUAGUAGGGGGAUAUUUAGAGGCUGAACGUUUGCAUAAGCAUUUUGCAGAGCAAGGAACUGACAGGAAUGCUUGGGAUCGCCGUUGUAGCAUGUUCCAUCUAGGUGGGGAGCGCCAGCUUUAUGGUUAUUUGGCAGUGAAAAAAGACUUGGAUAUAUUCAAUCGGCAUUCACAAGGCAAAUCUAAGCUGAAAUUUGAGAUGAGAUCAUACCAUGAGAUGGUGGUGAACCAAAUUAAGCAAAUGAGUGAGGACAACCAGCUACUUAUCUGGUUAAAGAACAGGAAUGCUAAACAAGAGAUGGCUAAUAAAGCUUUCUAGGAGAAUUUUGGCAUACUUAGUGAGAAGCUACACAAAACAAUGGAGGAGAAUCGAAUUGUAAGACAGAGAACAAAGACGCAGCAUGAAGAGAACAAGGAAGAGAUGUACAUGCAAGAAAAAAUUUUCAAGGUCAUUCAUGAAUUAAGGGAUGCCAAGGAAGAAAAUUUUGAGAUGCUGCAGCAGGAGCAUGAGAAGGUGAAGCAGGCAAAUGAUGAUCCUUCAAAUGCAGAGGAGUAUAGACGCAAGUAAUUAGAUGAAUAUAGAACAAGAUUGGAAAUUUUGACCAUGGCUGUGGAGAAUUAAUCGCACCUUUAAUGCUGGUUGUUUUGGGAGACCUAUGCUGUGCUUUAAUAGUUUCGGACUUAAAUUUCCAACUUUACUAAUGCAAUUUGAUAUUGUGAACUGCUGGUUGAUGCUUUCUAUCUGGUGUUUCUUAUCUUCACCAACUGGUGGCUAUUAUCCUCAUCAGCUUGCAGCAGUCCUUAUCUUGAUUUAUAUAGUUGUUAUGUUAGAAGAGUUUAUUUUCUUCAUGUCUCUAUUGUAUAUCUGUAUAUAUAUGUUAUACUAUUAAUAAAUAAGUAGUUAAGUUUUCU